rnacentral:rRNA from 1 species
AGUGAACGCUGGCGGUAGGCCUAACACAUGCAAGUCGAACGGCAGCACCGUACGAGCUUGCUCUUACGGGUGGCGAGUGGCGGACGGGUGAGGAAUACAUCGGACUCUACUUUUUCGUGGGGGAUCACGUAGGGAAACUUACGCUAAUACCGCAUACGCCCUACGGGUGAAAGCAGGGGAUCUUCGGACCUUGCGCGAUUGAACGAGCCGAUGUCGGAUUAGCUAGUUGGCGGGGUAAAGGCCCACCAAGGCGACGAUCCGUAGCUGGUCUGAGAGGAUGAUCAGCCACACUGGAACUGAGACACGGUCCAGACUCCUACGGGAGGCAGCAGUGGGGAAUAUUGGACAAUGGGCGCAAGCCUGAUCCAGCCAUACCGCGUGGGUGAAGAAGGCCUUCGGGUUGUAAAGCCCUUUUGUUGGGAAAGAAAAGCAGCAGGUUAAUACCCCGCUGUUCUGACGGUACCCAAAGAAUAAGCACCGGCUAACUUCGUG